AAUUCGAUUUAGCUUGUUGGCGGGGUAAAAGCCCACCAAGGCGACGAUCUGUAGCUGGUCUGAGAGGACGACCAGCCACACUGGGACUGAGACACGGCCCAGACUCCUACGGGAGGCAGCAGUGGGGAAUUUUGGACAAUGGGCGCAAGCCUGAUCCAGCCAUGCCGCGUGCGGGAAGAAGGCCUUCGGGUUGUAAACCGCUUUUGUCAGGGAAGAAACGCUCCGGGUUAAUACCCUGGAGUAAUGACGGUACCUGAAGAAUAAGCACCGGCUAACUACGUGCCAGCAGCCGCGGUAAUACGUAGGGUGCAAGCGUUAAUCGGAAUUACUGGGCGUAAAGCGNGCGCAGGCGGCUUUGCAAGACAGAUGUGAAAUCCCCGGGCUUAACCUGGGAGCUGCAUUUGUGACUGCAUGGCUGGAGUGCGGCAGANGGGGAUGGAAUUCCGCGUGUAGCAGUGAAAAGCGUAGAUAUGCGGAGGAACACCGAUGGCGAAGGCAAUCCCCUGGGCCUGCACUGACGCUCAUGCACGAAAGCGUGGGG
rnacentral:rRNA from 1 species